CUUAAUGGUGCCUCUACAAUAGAUUCCAGGUUUGAUCUAAUCAAAUAUGGUUCUAUGGGUUUACUAGAUUGUGUCGGUUUUUCUACUUGUUGAACUUCAUAAUUUCUAUAUUAAAGGUAUCAGUACCUUCAUCAAAGUACUCCUUUUCUAAAAAGAACACCAAAGAACUCUUAUUCUUUAGCAUGCUAGAAGUUAUAUCCCCUAGAUUUUUUGGAUACCUUAUAAAAUAAUAUAUAUAGGACCA
rnacentral:lncRNA from 1 species